GAUGAACGCUGGCGGCGUGCUUAACACAUGCAAGUCGAACGGAAAGGCUCCUGCUUGCAGGGGUACUCGAGUGGCGAACGGGUGAGUAACACGUGGGUGAUCUGCCCUGCACUUCGGGAUAAGCCUGGGAAACUGGGUCUAAUACCGGAUAGGACGAUGGUUUGGAUGCCAUUGUGGAAAGUUUUUUCGGUGUGGGAUGAGCUCGCGGCCUAUCAGCUUGUUGGUGGGGUAAUGGCCUACCAAGGCGUCGACGGGUAGCCGGCCUGAGAGGGUGUACGGCCACAUUGGGACUGAGAUACGGCCCAGACUCCUACGGGAGGCAGCAGUGGGGAAUAUUGCACAAUGGGCGCAAGCCUGAUGCAGCGACGCCGCGUGGGGGAUGACGGCCUUCGGGUUGUAAACUCCUUUCGCUAGUGACGAAGCGCAAGUGACGGUACCUGGUGAAGAAGCACCGGCUAACUACGUG
rnacentral:rRNA from 1 species